CCUCUCCGGAUACCUAAUCGACAUCUACCAUUCAUUUGCAUUUAAUCAAAUCACUCUCCAGGUCUCCAUGUCUGAUCGUUAUCUUCAUUUCUUCUUCAUUCUCACUCAAAAUCAUAGCUGCCCUCAAAUCCUUUCCUUUUCCUUCUAUGCCCCCAGGAGAUCAAGAAAACCCUAAUCGGCCUCAAUCGUCAGUUACGGUCUUUCAAUGCGUGGACCGUCAAUUAGGUUUCAAUGAUUACCAUCCUUGAUUCCACACUCAGAAACCAAUUAUAAAUGGUGGAAUUCGGAUCGGAGAAAGGGGGCACACGUAAGCGAAACAGAGGAAUAAGUUCGAUGGAUUCAAUGGAGUCUUAUCACUGGGUGUUUCAGAACGAGCAGGAUUAAGGUCGAUUUAAAGGACAAUGACAGUGGUGAUGGAGAUAAUAUCAUGUUGCAUAUUAUGGAUUCGGAUGAUGAAGAUAGUUUGCACUAGAAGUUGAUUCACACUGGACCGAAGAUUGAUUCGUUCGGAGUGGAAACUUUUGACGUUCCUGGUGCUCACAGGAUUGAUUUUCAGUUGUUGAUGUAGAAAGGAAUUGGAGUAUGACCAUCGUUGAAGAGAAGCCGAAUUCAAUAUACGUUUCAAUGUUAUUAUGUUUCGAUCUUAUUUUUGUCUUCUUAUACAACGCUUAUUUUGUUACAGGAAAUUUACUUCUGGAAUUUACGCAGAAGAUUGUAUAUUUGAAUAUCCAACCAUUAGAUUCAGUGCGUGGCCAAUGCAGGUAGGGAUUUGUAUUCUUGCAACUUAAAAUUGCUCGUACCUUUCUUUGACGAUCCCUCAAUCUCAUUCCAAGGCAUUACAAAGGUAUUAAGUGGUGAGACAGAGUCUGUAAAGGCCACAUGCAAACUAAGGACUUAUCUUAACCUACCUUGGAGGCCUCUUAUUUCCGUUGAUGGGACUGCGGUCUAUGAUUUGUACAAUCAGUUUAGAAUUGUUAAACAUGUAGAAAGUUGGAGUGUUUCCCCUUUAGAAGCUAUUGGCCAGAUAUUCACACCUAACUCCAGCCGCUCCAUUUGAUUUGGUAAAUAUCCUUAAGGGAAAAGUCAGUUAUACCUUUAAAAAUCAUGUCAAAUGGGUUCGGGUCAAAACUGGUUGGCUCAGAGAGGGUUUUUUAUGUUGGUUAGUGGUGGCAGCGGUGGUGUUGUCAUGUCAACUGCUGUGGUGGCAUCAACAUCGACUGGUAAGUGACCCUCCUUACUCUAACAUGAUUGUAGUCCUUUGGUGGCGCUAUAUUUUGCGUUUCCCUGUGUAAAUUUCAGCUCCCUCUUCUUGUCCUUUUCCAUUUCAUUCUUCAUCUAGCUUUCUUUAAUGAAAUGGUGAAUCAUGUUUACUUAUUGUUUUAAGUAUAUUAGAAUGAUCUCUACCUAUAUGACUGCAGUUAAAUUUUGAAGACAAAGGCAUAUGGUCUAAACUAAAAUGACUUUUAGCUAGGUGUAUAUGUGCCUCUCUUUAAAAAAAUGAUGAAUAAUUUUAUUCUAUGUUGACUUCUUUCAAUUCUUGGAAAGCCCAAAAUGCUCGGUGAUCGCCAACCAUAAAGGUGAAUUCCAAUUUACAACUUUCGUUGUUUUGCUUUUUGCAAUUGGUGGGUUUAGGGAAGCUGAUUUGGAAAGCUUAAAGUACUCAUUUUUUCAUGAUUUCAUUCUGUUCACUUCAUUAAUAUUAAGGAACUUGAAUUUAUAUUAACUUCACUUCUUUUGGUUAUCGAGAAGCAAGAGUCAUGAGGGGAAAGAUGCACUUGGUUAUGCUAAUGUUUAUUCGUUGUUUCCCAUUAGGUUAACCAUUAUUCUUUUUUUAAUUGUUCAUGAAUGGUUUUAUUGUUGUAUUUUUUCAGGUUUUUGGUCGUGUCACCUGACAUUGAGAUUGCUAAGAGUACAUUGCAAGCUUUCAUAGAUUUAGGCAGAAAGGUAACAAGCUAAUCUGUAGAGAGCGUGUGUGUAGGGGACGUGGGAGGGUUACACUACAAAGGCUCUAGCCAGCGGUUUACGGCUCCAUGGCGCGACUCCAUGGUCGGCUCUGUGGCUCUACUCAAUGGCUUGUAUGAAUUGUCGGUCAUGUUUGGUAACCGGUCUACUGUUUUAAGAUGAUGCAUGCAAUGGUACAUGGCCUGGUUCUUCACAUAUUAUUAAAGAUUUGUGGGCAAACGAGGUUGGUAAGAAGAAACAGUUGUUUUUAGUUUAUUUUUUUUUAUUUUUUUGGAUUUGCUUAACAUCGUUUUGUUUUGUAAUGGGGCGAUCUAAUUUUGUAAUUUAUAUUAUAUAGCAAAGAGUGGGGCACGGUUGAGUCUUCAGGAUUAUCCCUUUAUACCAAAAAACAGUUGCUCCUAGGUAACGAAAUCAACCGUUGAUAGCUUAUGUUCUUUGUUCGAACAUUAUGUACUUUAAAAUAAAAUUGGUUAAAGGAGUGUUGGCUAUUA